UACGUAGGGUGCAAGCGUUAAUCGGAAUUACUGGGCGUAAAGCGUGCGCAGGCGGUCUUGCAAGACAGAUGUGAAAUCCCCGGGCUCAACCUGGGAACUGCAUUCGAGACUGAAUAGCUAGGGUGCGGAAGAGGGAAGCGGAAUUUCCGGUGUAGCGGUGAAAUGCGUAGAUAUCCGGAGGAACACCGGUGGCGAAGGCGGCUUCCUGGACCGACACUGACGCUGAUGCGCGAAAGCUAGGGGAGCAAACGGG
rnacentral:rRNA from 1 species